rfam:Gossypium raimondii Chr03_contig_592, whole genome shotgun sequence.
AAACCAUGCAUUGGGCAUUUUCUAAUUAGUUCCUUGAAAUGCUCCUGUGCUUCAUAUAAUGUUUUAUAUUUUGGUUGCCUAAACGAUCUAAUGUCAUUCCUAAGCUU